AUUGAACGCUGGCGGCAUGCCUUACACAUGCAAGUCGAACGGCAGCAUGGAGAGCUUGCUCUCUGAUGGCGAGUGGCGAACGGGUGAGUAAAGCAUCGGAACGUACCGUGUAGUGGGGGAUAACGUAGCGAAAGUUACGCUAAUACCGCAUACGCACUGAGGUGGAAAGCAGGGGAUCGUAAGACCUUGCGCUAUACGAGCGGCCGGUGUCAGAUUAGCUAGUUGGUAGGGUAAAGGCCUACCAAGGCGACGAUCUGUAGCGGGUCUGAGAGGAUGAUCCGCCACACUGGGACUGAGACACUGCCCAGACUCCUACGGGAGGCAGCAGUGGGGAAUUUUGGACAAUGGGGGCAACCCUGAUCUAGCCAGGCCGCGUGAGUGAAGAAGGCCUUCGGGUUGUAAAGCUCUUUCGGCCGGGAAGAAAUCGCACAGGCUAAUACCCUGUGUGGAUGACGGUACCGGCAUAAGAAGCACCGGCUAACUACGUGCCAGCCGCCGCUGUAA
rnacentral:rRNA from 1 species